GAUUUAUUCAGCACAUAUACUAAAUUUGGAACCAUACAGAGAAAAUUAGCAUGGCCCCUGCGCAAGGAUGGUAUACAAUUUUGUGAAGCAUUGCAUAUUUAA